AACGAACGCUGGCGGCAGGCUUAACACAUGCAAGUCGAACGCCCCGCAAGGGGAGUGGCAGACGGGUGAGUAACACGUGGGGAUCUGCCCAAUGGUACGGAAUAAUUCCGGGAAACUGGGACUAAUACCGUAUGUGCCCGCAAGGGGAAAGAUUUAUCGCCAUUGGAUGAACCCGCGUCGGAUUAGCUAGUUGGUGUGGUAAAGGCGCACCAAGGCGACGAUCCGUAGCUGGUCUGAGAGGCUGAUCAGCCACACUGGGACUGAGGCACGGCCCAGACUCCUACGGGAGGCAGCAGUGGGGAAUAUUGGACAAUGGGCGCAAGCCUGAUCCAGCCAUGCCGCGUGAGUGAUGAAGGCCUUAGGGUUGUAAAGCUCUUUCGCCGACGAAGAUAAUGACGGUAGUCGGAGAAGAAGCCCCGGCUAACUUCGUGCCAGCCGCCGCCGUAACAC
rnacentral:rRNA from 1 species